rnacentral:rRNA from 1 species
UACGAGUGGUGCAAGCGUUAUUCGGAAUGAUUGGGCGUAAAGGGUGCGCAGACGGUGUGCUAAGUCAACUGUUAAAUUUCCCGGCCUAACUGGGAGCCUGCAGUAGAUACUGGUAUGCUUGAGGGCGGAAGAGAGGAGUGGAAUUCUCGGAGUAGCGGUAAAAUGCGUAGAUCUCGAGAGGAACACCAAUGGCGAAGGCAGCUCCUUGGUCCGUACCUGACGUUCAUGCACGAAAGCGUGGGUAGCAAAC